GUAAGAAGGAAGCAUUAAUAACUUUUGGCAAUUAAAAAGAGGUUGGGAAUUCAGAACAAAAAAAGAGUAAAAGCGAUAUAUUUAUUCUAUUCCAAAAGAUUUGUAUGCAUGUAUAAGAGAUUUUAAGGCUGAUGAUGGUUUUUGAUUAUACUUUGGGUUUACAUUAUUUUUGUUUUGUUCUGUUUUGUUUGUUUUGUUUUGCUUUCGUAUACACUCUAUUUUUUUUUAAACGUAAAAUGAUCAUUAGCGAUGUUGCUUCAGUAAAGCGAGAGUCAGUGAACAAUGGUUAGAUUAAAGCUUUGCUGAGUAAAUAUUUUUUGGCUUUCUUAUUAAAGGUCUUAUAAGAAACAUAUGUGUAUUUUUUGUUUUAUUGCUUAGCCAGUUUACUAUUUUUGGGACAAUGCGUUUCGUAAACGUUUAUGAUGUUUGAUGUACGUGACGAAUUGUUCAAAAGUUAAAUUUUGAGGUUUAAAAAAAAUGAAGGCCUGAGAAACCGCUUCUAUCUCUAUGGUUGUUUAUAUCACCAACAAAUGUCAAUUGAGAAUUUGAGGAAAGAACAGAAACCUAAGAGGAAUCUUGUUCUUAAAGGAUGAAAAAUCAACAUGACAAUUCCUUCAUUUUAUACAUCUUGGAAGCGAAACACAAGAAGGGGUGAAAGGAAGUUGAAGAGCUUGAAAAUGUCAGUCAGCAAAGGAAUUCCACAAUUUUUUUGAUAAGUGACGUGAAAGAAACCUUUUGAGUUUGGUUUCAAUGCUUCAUGCUUCUCGAGAAAAGAGGCGGUCUUGGGUUUUUAUAAUUUUGUGUUUGAAGGUCCCAUUUGAUAUUUGGAAUGUUGCUGCAGUGAAACCUAACUGUUUACAAGUAUUUUUAUUUUUAUUCAUAAAUGUCUCGUAAGCUAAGUCUCACCUUUUCUCUUAUGCAAACAGGAGGUUAUUUGAUUAUAGUUAUCGAAUAAAUGGAUGAUUGAUCCAUGUAUAAAAUGAUAUUGUUAAUGGUAUUGA